rnacentral:rRNA from 1 species
UAACCAGACUCCUACGGGAGGCAGCAGUGAGGAAUAUUGGUCAAUGGGCGGGAGCCUGAACCAGCCAUGCCGCGUGAAGGCGAGUGCCCUACGGGCGUUAAACUUCUUUUGUGCGGGAGCAAUAAGGGCCACGCGUGGCCCGAUGAGAGUACCGCACGAAUAAGCAUCGGCUAACUCCGUGCCAGCAGCCGCGGUAAUACGGAGGAUGCGAGCGUUAUCCGGAUUUAUUGGGUUUAAAGGGUGCGUAGGCGGCAUUAUAAGUUAGUGGUAAAAUAUUGGGGCUUCACCUCACUACGCCAUUAAUACUGUAGAGCUAGAGAACAGACGAGGUAGGCGGAAUAAGUUAAGUAGCGGUGAAAUGCAUAGAUAUAACUUAGAACACCGAUAGCGAAGGCAGCUUACCAGACUGAGUCUGACGCUGAUGCACGAGAGCAUGGGUAGCGAACAGGAUUAGAUACCCGCGUAUA